GGCCACGCCAUACCACCCUGAAUGCGCCCGAUCUCGUCUGAUCUCGGAAGCUAACAGGGUAGGCCUGGUUAGUACUUGGAUGGGAGACCGCCUAGGAAUACCAGGUGUUGUAAGCU
rnacentral:rRNA from 1 species